GAGUUUGAUCUUGGCUCAGGAUGAACGCUGGCGGCGUGCUUAACACAUGCAAGUCGAACGAAGCGCCUUAUUUGAUUUUCUUCGGAACUGAAGAUUUGGUGACUGAGUGGCGGACGGGUGAGUAACGCGUGGGUAACCUGCCCUGUACAGGGGGAUAACAAUCAGAAAUGACUGCUAAUACCGCAUAAGACCACAGCACCGCAUGGUGCAGGGGUAAAAACUCCGGUGGUACAGGAUGGACCCGCGUCUGAUUAGCUGGUUGGUGAGGUAACGGCUCACCAAGGCGACGAUCAGUAGCCGGCUUGAGAGAGUGAACGGCCACAUUGGGACUGAGACACGGCCCAAACUCCUACGGGAGGCAGCAGUGGGGAAUAUUGCACAAUGGGGGAAACCCUGAUGCAGCAACGCCGCGUGAGUGAAGAAGUAUUUCGGUAUGUAAAGCUCUAUCAGCAGGGAAGAAAGUGACGGUACCUGACUAAGAAGCCCGGCUAACUACGUGCCAGCAGCCGCCGCCGU
rnacentral:rRNA from 1 species